UCAAGAUUGAUGCUUUGGAGAAGGAAACAGGUGGUAAAUAAUCUACCACAUUGAUAUUUAUCUAGCCUUACACGUUUAGGGUCAAGAUUUUCUUUCUCCACUAACACUUACAGAUUGCAAUCAAUCUAGAUCAAUUUCAUUUUGUAUCAGUUUUGUACAGAGUUCAAACGAGACAGAGGAGGAAAAAUGUGAGUGCUCUGUGAAGGUCUUUCUGUAAAAGAAGAAGAUGAAGAUAAGCUUUUGGGCUUGCAUGUAGUGAAAAAAAAGGAAGAAGAAACAUAGGAAUUUAACGUGGUUCGACAACUAGAGGUCUACAUCCACAGAAGGAGCUGAAGAUUUUACAAAGUAGUCACUAACAUAAUUUCAAUUCCGAUAAUGUCAAGACACUUCUGGAGUUUAAGUUGUGUAACAACUUUAGUCAGCAUAUCAGAGGCAUUAUCAGAUGCUAGAGGUCAAACGUUGAGAACUCGACGAACAAAGAAAAACUUGGAAACAAUACAUAAGCCAAAACUUCAACCCUCGACAAGGAAAAUCUCGUGAAUCUCGCUUAAGUUGUCGAAGGUUGAAGUUUCGACACACAUUCACCCUCAGGAUUGCAGAUGGAGGCUUAUGGGAUUGACGUGGGGGGUGGGGAUGACUAUAUUUAUGGGAGCAAACACCAGGCGGAUAUGAAGCACAUGGAUACAAAUUAUGCCUUGGAAUGAAAGACAAUUCCGAAUUAGCUUUGUCUACGAACAAAAAAGUAAAUCCAUAAUAAAAAAAAUGUUUGUGAUUAUUCCAGAAGAAAUGAAAGCUAGUAAUCAUUAA